CAAAAACAUAGCUAUGUGUAAAUAUACGUAGUGUUUUCUGCUCAGUGAGAAAUUAAACAGCCGCAGUACCCUGACUGUGCAAAGGUAGCGUAAUCAUUUGUCUUUUAAUUAAAGUCGUGUAUGAAUGAAUAUAUGGGGGCUUUCUUUACCUGUAGUACAAUAUGAAUUUAUUGAGUGAGUGCAAACCCUCACAGGUAAAUAAUAGACGAGAAGACCCUAGAAAUUUGAAAUGUUUUGUUGGGGCAACAUAGUACCAGUCAAUUUACUAUAUGUAUAUGAAAUAUAUUUGGCAAGGUAAAUUACUCCAGGGAUAACAGCAUAAUAUGAAAGUGUUUGUGACCUCGAUGUUGGAUUAGGAAGCCGCAGCUUAGAAGGUGGCUCGCAUUGCUCUGUUCGCGCA
rnacentral:rRNA from 1 species